rnacentral:rRNA from 1 species
UACGUAGGGGGCAAGCGUUGUCCGGAAUCAUUGGGCGUAAAGCGCGUGUAGGCGGCUUGGUAAGUCUGCUCUGAAAGCCCGGGGCUCAACCCCGGGAGGCGGGUGGAUACUGUCAAGCUCGAGUCCGGAAGAGGAGUGUGGAAUUCCUGGUGUAGCGGGUGAAAUGCGCAGAUAUCAGGAGGAACACCAAUAGGCGAAGGCAGCACUCUGGGACGUGACUGACGCUGAGCACGCGAAAGCGUGGGGAGCAAACAGG